AGCAUGGAACAGGAAGAAGUGCAUGAACCCCACAUCUGGCUGAGGAGAUAUUGACUUCAGAUAGCUUCUGGGAGAAGGAGGGCCAGGUUUCUUUAAGUUUGGCCCCUAUAGGUUGGAAGCUCCAGGGGAUGACUCCACAUUCAGGAAUAUAUGAGUGGUGCAAACGGGACUUGGGCGACCCCACCCUAAGCUGCUAACCAGUGAGGGAGACAUCCGCCCACUUAAAAACUCCUGUCCCAGGGACAUCCCUGGGAUUGGAACUGAUGGAUCAAGAGGUAACUCCAGGUUCGCUUGACAGUGUGGAGGCUCCCGUUCACACGCCCACCAGGAAGGAUGUGGGGGCUCCAGCGGCUGCCUCUUAUAUUCAAGUCACCCAGGUGGACUUGUAGUCUAUCUUUUUAUGAUUUUAAUGAGGGUUUCCCUCAUGAGUAAUCAAAGUCACACAUCAUUUUGGGUACACAGGAAAUGAGUUUAUCUCCUGUGGAGGAAUGUCUAAUCUUUGUCCAUUCUU